UACGUAGGGGCCUAGCGUUGUCCGGAUUUAUUGGGCGUAAAGAGCUCGUAGGCGGUUUGGUGAGUCGGGUGUGAAAUCUCCACGCUCAACGUGGAGGAGCCACCCGAUACUGCCAUGACUAGAGUCCGGUAGGGGAGUGUGGAAUUCCCGGUGUAGCGGUGAAAUGCGCAGAUAUCGGGAGGAACACCAGUGGCGAAGGCGGCUCACUGGCCCGGUACUGACGCUGAGGUGCGAAAGCGUGGGGAGCAAACAGG
rnacentral:rRNA from 1 species